ensembl:snoRNA
UCAGGAUGGUGAUAAGCAACUUCUGACUAAACAAGAAGGUCUUAAUCACCUCUAACUGAUU